AGUGAACGCUGGCGGUAGGCCUAACACAUGCAAGUCGAACGAGUGGCGGACGGAUGAGGAAUACAUCGGAAUCUACUCUGUCGAGGGGGAUAACGGAGGGGAACAUACGCUAAUACCGCAUAAGAUUGCAUGAGCCGAUGUCGGAUUAGCUAGUUGGCGGGGUAAAGGCCCACCAAGGCGACGAUCCCUCGCUGGUCUGAGAGGAGGCACAGCCACACUGGAACUGAGACAAGAUCCAGACUCCUACGUGAGGCAGCGGUGGGAAAUAGUGGACGAUGGGGGAAAGCCUGAUCCAGCCAUACCGCGUGGGUGAAGAAGGCCUUCGGGUUGUAAAGCCCUGUUGUUGGGAAAGCGGUACCCAAAGAAUAAGCACCGGCUAACUUCGUGCCAGCAGCCGCGGUAAUUC
rnacentral:rRNA from 1 species